rnacentral:rRNA from 1 species
AACGAACGCUGGCGGCAUGCCUAACACAUGCAAGUCGAACGAGACCUUCGGGUCUAGUGGCGCACGGGGGCGUAACGCGUGGGAACCUGCCCUUAGGUUCGGAAUAACUCCCCGAAAGGGGUGCUAAUACCGGAUAAUGUCUUCGGACCAAAGAUUUAUCGCCUUUGGAUGGGCCCGCGUUGGAUUAGCUAGUUGGUAGGGUAAAAGCCUACCAAGGCGACGAUCCAUAGCUGGUCUGAGAGGAUGAUCAGCCACACUGGGACUGAGACACGGCCCAGACUCCUACGGGAGGCAGCAGUGGGGAAUACUGGACAAUGGGCGAAAGCCUGAUCCAGCAAUGCCGGGUGAGUGAUGAAGGCCUUAGGGUUGUAAAGCUCUUUUACCCGGGAUGAUAAUGACAGUACCGGGAGAAUAAGCACCGGCUAACUCCGUG